GAGAUAAAUUUUGCUUUCCAUCGUGUUAUCUUAAUAAACUUCAGUGAAAAUGAACUUGUGCAGCUUUUAGAUAACACGCUGUCAAUCAGAUAUCGAUAUUUUGAUGCACUUGUAACCUAACCCACCAUGCUAACCCAUUUAAAAUUUUUCAAAAAAUUAGUAAAAAUCUCUUUAAAGCAUCUGGUGAUUAUUGGACCUUAAGAACCAAACGUUUAAUUUGUUUAGCAAAUUCUAAUGGUUUUGACAUCAGGAUUGCCUGGAUUCCAGGUCAUUCCAAUAUCUUGUGAAAUACAGAGGCAGAUUUGUUGGCUAAUAUUGGAAAAGAUUUAAAUAUUCCGAAAUCUAUGGAGAUGGAUUCAAUAGAUAUUUUUAAUUCAAUUAAAACUGAUAUUUUGUGUAAUUAUAAGGAAAAUUGGAAAUCUCGUAUGAAAGGAAAAAAGCAUGUGUAUUUUAAUAUACAAACAAUCUUCCCAGAUAAACAAUGGUUUAAAAAUUUCCAGUAUAUAGAUAGAAGACAUAUUACAACGUUAAUUAGAAUGCGUACAGGCCAUUGCUUAACAAAAAACCAUUUAUAUAAAAUUAAAGUGAAGGAAGAUCCAUUCUUUUCCGAAUGCAGUCUGUUUGUGUGACCUCUAUCCUAUGUGCCUUUGUGUGUGAUAUAAUCUUCCUUUCAGCACGUCAUUUAUAUAUUUAAUAAAUAAUAAUAAUAACAUUUUACAGUCACAGGUCACAGGUUACCUUCAUAGAAGUUAGUUAUAUUAAAAUUUACCCAUUAUACAUUUUACUCAGAUAAGAAUCAGUGGCCUUGAUAUGGUUUAGAGCCAGUCAACAUCUUGGUCACUCCCAAAUUGAGCUGGCGGUUGCCUUGUAGCAGAGCCAUCAUAAAAAAAA